rnacentral:tRNA from 1 species
GGCUGGAUAGCUUAGUUGGUAGAGCGCUGGAAUGGUAAUCCAGAGGUCGCAAGUUCAAGCCCUGCACCAGUCA